rnacentral:rRNA from 1 species
ACGGGAGGCAGCAGUGGGGAAUAUUGCACAAUGGGGGAAACCCUGAUGCAGCGACGCCGCGUGAGCGAAGAAGUAUUUCGGUAUGUAAAGCUCUAUCAGCAGGGAAGAAAAUGACGGUACCUGACUAAGAAGCACCGGCUAAAUACGUGCCAGCAGCCGCGGUAAUACGUAUGGUGCAAGCGUUAUCCGGAUUUACUGGGUGUAAAGGGAGCGUAGACGGAUGGGCAAGUCUGAUGUGAAAACCCGGGGCUCAACCCCGGGACUGCAUUGGAAACUGUUCAUCUAGAGUGCUGGAGAGGUAAGUGGAAUUCCUAGUGUAGCGGUGAAAUGCGUAGAUAUUAGGAGGAACACCAGUGGCGAAGGCGGCUUACUGGACAGUAACUGACGUUGAGGCUCGAAAGCGUGGGGAGCAAACAGGAUUAGAUACCCUGGUAGUCCACGCCGUAAACGAUGACUAUUAGGUGUCGGGUGGCAAAGCCAUUCGGUGCC